CACACACCAGAUCACUGGGUUCUUGCGAUAGCCUUGAUGGACAAAAAAGGAAUUGUUAAUAAUUGACCCCUUGUGUGAUGAGAUGAGAUAUGAAAGAACAUGCCUGAGGAAUUGGAGAAACUUCAUCAAACGAUUAACUAGCAAAUCCUCAUCUGAUUGGAAUAGCAAAAUUGUUCAGCAUCCCAGACAAAGUGAUGGCCACAGCUGCGGACCACUCAUUUUAAAGAAAGCGUGGAGGACUACUGCAUAUACUGCAACCUUGUCAACUAUGAAAAGGAAAGUGAGGAUUGCACGAUGUUGUUACUUAUCAAAGAUCCAGUGUGAUUCUUGCAAGAGGUGGGCACAUAUGCCCUGCAUUACAGAAGGAACCAAUCAAGAAAACCUGAUUGAU